rnacentral:lncRNA from 1 species
AUCUUGUCUUAACUGGAUGGAACAUGGCAGCAAUGUAAAAUUUUAAACUUUUCAGAAAACAGAAAGUCAGAAACACAAGAGAAAGUCUGGCUCCAACAGAGGUUUGCAAAAUAUCAAACAUGACAAAGCUCCAAGCCGAGGGACAAAUUUUGGCUUCCCUGGUUAGAAACAGCUCAUACAGCAUUGGGUCAUCUGGGGACAAUAAACAUAUAAAUAACCUACCUCCAGUUCCAGCAAGCUGCUAUUUACAGAGGCCACGGCGCUGCCGCAGUGAUGCUGCUGAUGAACGCGGCAGUAGGAGCUGUGGUCGUGCUCCUGUUUGGUGCCUGGGCCCGAUUGGCAGAACAGAUCAGGAAGGUGGCUUUUGUUCCCAUUUCACAACACUUCAGGAUCCGUUUCCCAUGACCGUCAUGUAGGAACAUAAGCAGAU